UGUUGCAGAGCACUGCAGGCACAAAUUGGCUGCAGAGAACCUGGUCUCUGCACAGAAGCUGGUGGAUGGAGAGGAGCUGGCUCUGGCCAAGGUGGCUGUGCUGCUCCUGUAUCACACCUCUGUGAGCUGCAAGAGCCCUGGUGACUGGAAUGAGUUUGACUACAAGACCCAGGUUGAGCUGGCAUCAAUCCUCAAAUUUGUGCUGGAUAAUGAGGAGAGCCUGAAUGAGAACCUAGAGCCAUUUCUGCUGACGAAAG